rnacentral:tRNA from 1 species
GGGUAUAGUUCAAUGGUAGAGCAACGGUCUCCAAAACCGUCGAUCUGGGUUCGAGUCCUAGUACC